AUGAACGCUGGCGGCGUGCUUAACACAUGCAAGUCGAACGAAGCACUUUGUUACGAUUUCUUCGGAAUGACGAUUUAGUGACUGAGUGGCGGACGGGUGAGUAACGCGUGGGUAACCUGCCUUAUACAGGGGGAUAACAGUUGGAAACGACUGCUAAUACCGCAUAAGCGCACGGUAUCGCAUGAUACAGUGUGAAAGACUCCGGUGGUAUAAGAUGGACCCGCGUCUGAUUAGCUUGUUGGUGAGGUAACGGCCCACCAAGGCGACGAUCAGUAGCCGGCCUGAGAGGGUGAACGGCCACAUUGGGACUGAGACACGGCCCAAACUCCUACGGGAGGCAGCAGUGGGGAAUAUUGCACAAUGGGGGAAACCCUGAUGCAGCGACGCCGCGUGAGUGAUGAAGUAUUUCGGUAUGUAAAACUCUAUCAGCAGGGAAGAUAAUGACGGUACCUGACUAAGAAGCACCGGCUAAAUACGUG
rnacentral:rRNA from 1 species